rnacentral:rRNA from 1 species
AUUGAACGCUGGCGGCAGGCCUAACACAUGCAAGUCGAGCGAGCGGCGGACGGGUGAGUAAUGUCUGGGAAACUGACUGAUGGAGGGGGAUAACUACUGGAAACGGUAGCUAAUACCGCAUACCAUCAGAUGUGCCCAAAUGGGAUUAGCUAGUAGGUGGGGUAAUGGCUCACCUAGGCGACGAUCCCUAGCUGGUCUGAGAGGAUGACCAGCCACACUGGAACGGAGACACGGCCCAGAUUCCGACGGGAGGCAGAAGUGGGGAAUAUUGCACAAUGGGGGCAAGCCUGAUGCAGCCAUGCCGCGUGUGUGAAGAAGGCCUUAGGGUUGUAAAGUACUUUCAGCGGGGAGGCGUUACCGGCAGAAGAAGCACCGGCUAACUCCGUGCCAGCCGCCGCGGUAAUAC